rnacentral:rRNA from 1 species
GGACUACUGGGGUUUCUAAUCCUGUUUGCUCCCCGCACUUUCGCGCCUCAGCGUCAGUCAUUGGCUAGAAGUCCGCCUUCGCCACCGGUGUUCUUCCUGAUAUCUACAGAUUUCACCCCUACACCAGGAAUUCCGACUCCCCCUCCAUGACUCUAGUCCCACAGUUUCUAACGCAAUUCCGGAGUUAAGCUCCGGGAUUUCACGCCAGACUUGCAGAACCGCCUACGCGCCCUUUACGCCCAAUAAUUCCGAACAACGCUCGCCCCUUACGUGUUACCGCGGCUGCUGGCAC